rnacentral:rRNA from 1 species
CCAAGAAACAACUUAAUUUAUAUAAGUGAAUUUAAAAAUUUUAACUUAAUCAAGAGUUUGAUUAAUUUAUUAUUUUGAUAGAAAUUUGAAAGUGAAUUGACCGAAGGGGAAAAAUAAAUGAGGAAAAAGCAAAGUUUAAAAUUUACCUUUUGUAUCAGGAUGGGAGGAAUAAGUUUGAUAUUUCAUUUAUAUCCCGAAAAGAGAGGAUUUACUCCUUUAAAAGUUUUAGUUUCAUUUAAAUUUGAAAUAUUGGAGUGGAAAUGAAAAGUUAUUCGUCUCUCUUAUAGCUGGUUCCUUAAUUGUCUGUUUAUCAGAAAGAUAGAUUAGAUUAUUAUAUUAGGGUUAAAAUUUAAAUUUAAUUUAACUAUUACUAUUCCUAGAGGGAUAAGCUUUUAGGAUCAGAGUGGAAACUUUUAAUUUAAAAAAUAAAACUUUUUAAAAAAUUAAUAAUUUUUUAUAACUUACUCUGUAAGUUAAGGGAAUUUUAUUUAAUAGUAUAAUUUGAUAAAGAAUCUUUCAAUUAGUACAAAUGAAAAUUAUUUUUUAUGAACUUGGCAAAAAUUUACCCUGCCUGUUUAAUAAAAACAUCUCCUCUAUUAAAUUAUUUGAGGUAGGACCUGCUCAAUGCAUAAGUAAAUAGCCGCAGUACUUUGACUGUGCGAAGGUAGCAUAAUCAAUUGGCUUAUAAUUGAAGUCUGGAAUGAAUGGUUUGACAUGGGUGAAACUUUCUUGGAAAUAUGAUUGGAAAUUGAAUAAAGAGUAAAAAUGCUCUUAUAAUUUAGAGGGACGAAAAGACCCUAUAGAUCUUUUAAUCAUAUGGUGAUUUUAUUUGGGAUGAAUCUAUUAAGCUAACUAAAGUUAGAAAACAAGACUUAAUUUGUCAACUUUUGAUCCACUAGUUGUGAUAUAAUGAAAAAGAUACCUUAGGGAUAACAGGAUAAUAGUGACUUUCAAGAUCAUAUUGAAAGUGACGAUUAUCACCUCGAUGUUGAAUUAAGAUUUCCCACUUGGGCAGAAAAAAGAAGGGUUGGUCUGUUCGACCAUUAAAAUCUUACAUGAUUUGAGUUUAGACCGACGUGAGUCAGGUCAGAUUCUAUCUUCUAUAAUUUAUUUCUUCAUUUGUACGAGAGGACUUUGAAGGACUCUUGAUAAGAGUAUUUUA